UGCGUUGUAGCGUAAAAAGUAUGGUGUCAAUAGGCACCGGUAGUGCAACUCUUUGAGCACACGCCCCCGAGUAGGGUGGGAUGUGGGUUCGAGUCCCACUGACGCAA